GAUGAACGCUAGCUACAGGCUUAACACAUGCAAGUCGAGGGGCAUCACAGAGAUAGCUUGCUAUCUUGGGUGGCGACCGGCGCACGGGUGAGUAACGCGUAUCCAACCUGCCCAUUACUCAGGGAUAGCCUUGCGAAAGUAAGAUUAAUACCUGAUGUUGUUUGAUUGCCGCAUGACGAUCAAACCAAAGAUUUAUUGGUAAUGGAUGGGGAUGCGUGACAUUAGGUAGUUGGUGAGGUAACGGCUCACCAAGCCCACGAUGUCUAGGGGUUCUGAGAGGAAGGUCCCCCACACUGGAACUGAGACACGGUCCAGACUCCUACGGGAGGCAGCAGUGAGGAAUAUUGGUCAAUGGACGAGAGUCUGAACCAGCCAAGUAGCGUGCAGGAUGACGGCCCUCUGGGUUGUAAACUGCUUUUAGUUGGGAAUAAAAAGAGGGACGUGUCCCUAAUUGUAUGUACCAUCAGAAAAAGGACCGGCUAAUUCCGUG
rnacentral:rRNA from 1 species